AACGAACGCUGGCGGCAUGCCUAACACAUGCAAGUCGAACGAGACCUUCGGGUCUAGUGGCGCACGGGUGCGUAACGCGUGGGAACCUGCCCUUAGGUUCGGAAUAACUCCCCGAAAGGGGUGCUAAUACCGGAUAAUGUCUUCGGACCAAAGAUUUAUCGCCUUUGGAUGGGCCCGCGUUGGAUUAGCUAGUUGGUAGGGUAAAAGCCUACCAAGGCGACGAUCCAUAGCUGGUCUGAGAGGAUGAUCAGCCACACUGGGACUGAGACACGGCCCAGACUCCUACGGGAGGCAGCAGUGGGGAAUAUUGGACAAGGGGCGAAAGCCUGAGCCAGCAAUGCCGCGUGAGUGAUGAAGGCCUUAGGGUUGUAAAGCUCUUUUACCCGGGAUGAUAAUGACAGUACCGGGAGAAUAAGCUCCGGCUAACUCCGUG
rnacentral:rRNA from 1 species